rnacentral:snRNA from 1 species
GUGGUUGCUCCCACAGUACAUAUACUAAAAUUGGAAUGAUUCAGAGAAGAUUAGUAUGGCCUCUGUGCAA